rnacentral:rRNA from 1 species
UACGGGGGGGGCAAGCGUUGUUCGGAAUUACUGGGCGUAAAGGGCUCGUAGGCGGCCAACUAAGUCGGAUGUGAAAUCCCCAGGCUUAACCUGGGAACUGCAUCCGAUACUGGAUGGCUUGAAUUCGGGAGAGGGAUGCAGAAUUCCAGGUGUAGCGGUGAAAUGCGUAGAUAUCUGGAGGAACACCGGUGGCGAAGGCGGCAUCCUGGACCAAUUCUGACACUGAGGAGCGAAAGCCAGGGGAGCAAACGGG